AGAGUUGUAUCCUGGCUCAGAUUGAACGCUGGCGGAAUGCUUUACACAUGCAAGUCGAGCGGCAGCGCGGGGCAACCUGGCGGCGAGCGGCGAACGGGUGAGUAACAUAUCGGAACGUAUCCAUAAGUGGGGGACAACCUAGCGAAAGUUAGGCUAAUACCGCAUACGCUCGAGAGAGGAAAGUGGGGGAUCGCAAGACCUCACGCUUUAGGAGCGGCCGAUAUCAGAUUAGCUAGAUGGUGAGGUAAAGGCUUACCAUGGCGACGAUCUGUAGCUGGUCUGAGAGGAUGAUCAGCCACACUGGGACUGAGACACGGCCCAGACUCCUACGGGAGGCAGCAGUGGGGAAUUUUGGACAAUGGGGGCAACCCUGAUCCAGCCAUUCCGCGUGAGUGAAGAAGGCCUUCGGGUUGUAAAGCUCUUUUGUCCGGAGCGAAACGGUUGCGGUGAAUAUCCGCGACUACUGACGGUACCGGAAGAAUAAGCACCGGCUAACUA
rnacentral:rRNA from 1 species